rnacentral:rRNA from 1 species
UACGUAGGGUGCAAGCGUUUGUCCGGAUUUAUUGGGCGUAAAGAGCUCGUAGGCGGUUUGGCAAGUCGGGUGUGAAAACUUCAGGCUCAACCUGGAGAUGCCACCCGAGACUGCUAUGACUUGAGUCUGGUAGGGGAGCACGGAAUUCCUGGUGUAGCGGUGGAAUGCGCAGAUAUCAGGAGGAACACCAAUAGCGAAGGCAGCUCGCUGGGACGGUAUUGACGCUAAGGCGCGAAAGCGUGGGGAGCAAACAGG